GAUGAACGCUGGCGGCGUGCCUAAUACAUGCAAGUCGAGCGAACAGACGAGGAGCUUGCUCCUCUGACGUUAGCGGCGGACGGGUGAGUAACACGUGGAUAACCUACCUAUAAGACUGGGAUAACUUCGGGAAACCGGAGCUAAUACCGGAUAAUAUAUUGAACCGCAUGGUUCAAUAGUGAAAGACGGUUUUGCUGUCACUUAUAGAUGGAUCCGCGCCGCAUUAGCUAGUUGGUAAGGUAACGGCUUACCAAGGCAACGAUGCGUAGCCGACCUGAGAGAGUGAUCGGCCACACUAGAAGUGAGACACGGACCAGACUCCUACGAGAGGCAGCAGUAGGGAAACUUCCGCAAUGGGCGAAAGCCUGACGGAGCGACGCCGCGUGAGUGAUGAAGAUCUUCGGAUCGUAAAGCUCUGUUAUUAGGGAAGAACAAAUGUGUAAGUAACUAUGCACGUCUUGACGGUACCUAAUCAGAAAGCCACGGCUAACUACGUG
rnacentral:rRNA from 1 species